CCUACGGGAGGCAGCAGUGGGGAAUCUUGGACAAUGGGCGCAAGCCUGAUCCAGCCAUGCCGCGUGAGUGAUGAAGGCCUUAGGGUCGUAAAGCUCUUUCGCCAGGGAUGAUAAUGACAGUACCUGGUAAAGAAACCCCGGCUAACUCCGUGCCAGCAGCCGCGGUAAUACGGAGGGGGUUAGCGUUGUUCGGAAUUACUGGGCGUAAAGCGCGCGUAGGCGGGUUGUUAAGUUAGAGGUGAAAUCCCGGGGCUCAACCCCGGAACUGCCUUUAAUACUGGCAACCUAGAGUUCGAGAGAGGUGAGUGGAAUUCCGAGUGUAGAGGUGAAAUUCGUAGAUAUUCGGAGGAACACCAGUGGCGAAGGCGGCUCACUGGCUCGAUACUGACGCUGAGGUGCGAAAGUGUGGGGAGCAAACAGGAUUAGAUACCCUGGUAGUCCACACCGUAAACGAUGAAUGCCAGUCGUCGGGUAGCAUGCUAUUCGGUGACACACCUAACGGAUUAAGCAUUCCGCCUGGGGAGUACGGUCGCAAGAUUAAAACUCAAAGGAAUUGACGGGG
rnacentral:rRNA from 1 species